rnacentral:rRNA from 1 species
UUGGAGGGCAAGUCUGGUGCCAGCAGCCGCGGUAAUUCCAGCUCCAAUAGCGUAUAUUAAAGUUGUUGCAGUUAAAAAGCUCGUAGUUGAAUUUCGGGGUUCUACCGUUGGUCGGGCUUUGUCUGUACUGGUGUGUAGAAUUUCUACCUUCUGGGGAACCAUCAUGCUAUUAAUUUAGCGUGGUGGGAAACCAGGACCUUUACCUUGAAAAAAUUAGUGUGUUCAAAGCAGGCUUAUGUCUGAAUACAUUAGCGUGGAAUAAUAGAAUAGGACGGUGGUCCUGUUUUGUUGGUUUCUGAAUCACCGUAAUGAUUAAUAGGGAUAGUUGGGGGCAUUAGCAUUCAAUUGUCAGAGGUGAAAUUCUUGGAUUUAUUGAAGACUAACUUCUGCGAAAGCAUUUGCCAAGGAUGUUUUCAUUAAUCAAGAACGAAAGUUAGGGGAUCGAAGACGAUCAGAUACCGUCGUAGUCUUAACCAUAAACUAUGCCGACUAGGGAUCGGACGAUGUUAAUUUUUCUUGACUCGUUCGGCGCCUUACGGGAAAC